UGAGCAGACAGUCUGCAAAGGGCCUUUUCCUCAGGCAAUUUUCUGGAACGCACUAUGGAAAGCCCCAGGAGGUUUUUAUACAUCAGACUGAUCAGAUGAAAUUUGCAUUUGAGAGAAAUCAAUGGGGAGAAUGCAAAAGAGAGACACUUAGGGCAAGAGGCUGGUGAGGAUCUUCUGGGAGUACCCAGGGAGAUAUCCUGUAUUACCUGGGUGGGGCUGAUCCAGUCACGUGAGCCCUUAAAGGUAGAGCACUUUAUCUUGCUGGAAUCAGAGAUGAGGAAGAAGAGGAAGCUGGAGAUUCAAAGCAUGAGAGGGCAACCGAUUAUUGCUGGAGGGGUGGAGGCAGCACAUGGAAAGCAUGAGAAGAAAUAAGGCAGCAUGUAGAAGCAAAGACCAGCCCCCGGCUGACAGCAAGGAAACAGGGACCUCAGUCCUACAACCACAACAAAAACAGAAUUCUAUCAGCAACCUGAAGGAGUGUGGAAGUGGAUUCUCCCCCAGAGCCUUCAGACAAGAGCCCAGUCCUGACACUUUAAUUUCAGCCUUAUGAAAACCAUAAGCAGAGAACUCAACCAAGCCUGCCUGGACUUCUGACCUACAGAAAUUCCAUAAAAUAAUGAUGUGUCUUACAUACGUGGCAUUUUGGACCUGAGGAAAUACAGCCAUGCUUACCCAGUAUGAGGCACUGUCCAUUUCAAUCUCACAACGACCCUGUGAGGGACCUUGGGCCAAUCACAUUCUGAGCCACCUGUGUAACAAGGGCAAUGGCACCCACCUAAGGUGGUUGUGAGGAUUCAUCUCAAAUGAAUGAGAUGCUGCACGUAAAGCAUGGGACCCGGCACACAACAAGAACUCAAUAAAGUCUGAACAACAAAACAAUGAAAGAUAUUCAAAGUAAGGUCCCAAGGCUGGCCUUCCUGAUGAAACACGGGCUAAGGGAUCACACGUCACUUCAAAAGCAAUCCAGAAGAGGGACAGGAAAGCAAACCUGUACAUUCGCUAGGAAUUUGCAGUCAUUUCAGAU